GACGAACGCUGGCGGCGUGCUUAACACAUGCAAGUCGAACGGAAAGGCCCUGCUUUUGUGGGGUGCUCGAGUGGCGAACGGGUGAGUAACACGUGAGUAACCUGCCCUUGACUUUGGGAUAACUUCAGGAAACUGGGGCUAAUACCGGAUAGGAGCUCCUGCUGCAUGGUGGGGGUUGGAAAGUUUCGGCGGUUGGGGAUGGACUCGCGGCUUAUCAGCUUGUUGGUGGGGUAGUGGCUUACCAAGGCUUUGACGGGUAGCCGGCCUGAGAGGGCGACCGGCCACAUUGGGACUGAGAUACGGCCCAGACUCCUACGGGAGGCAGCAGUGGGGAAUAUUGCACAAUGGGCGGAAGCCUGAUGCAGCAACGCCGCGUGCGGGAUGACGGCCUUCGGGUUGUAAACCGCUUUCGCCUGUGACGAAGCGUGAGUGACGGUAAUGGGUAAAGAAGCACCGGCUAACUACGUGCCAGCAGCCGCGGUGAUACGUAGGGUGCGAGCGUUGUCCGGAUUUAUUGGGCGUAAAGGGCUCGUAGGUGGUUGAUCGCGUCGGAAGUGUAAUCUUGGGGCUUAACCCUGAGCGUGCUUUCGAUACGGGUUGACUUGAGGAAGGUAGGGGAGAAUGGAAUUCCUGGUGGAGCGGUGGAAUGCGCAGAUAUCAGGAGGAACACCAGUGGCGAAGGCGGUUCUCUGGGCCUUUCCUGACGCUGAGGAGCGAAAGCGUGGGGAGCGAACAGGCUUAGAUACCCUGGUAGUCCACGCUGUAAACGGUGGGUACUAGGUGUGGGGUCCAUUCCACGGGUUCCGUGCCGUAGCUAACGCUUUAAGUACCCCGCCUGGGGAGUACGGCCGCAAGGCUAAAACUCAAAGGAAUUGACGGGGCCCCGCACAAGCGGCGGAGCAUGCGGAUUAAUUCGAUGCAACGCGUAGAACCUUACCUGGGUUUGACAUGGAUCGGGAGUGCUCAGAGAUGGGUGUGCCUCUUUUGGGGUCGGUUCACAGGUGGUGCAUGGCUGUCGUCAGCUCGUGUCGUGAGAUGUUGGGUUAAGUCCCGCAACGAGCGCAACCCUUGUUCACUGUUGCCAGCACGUUAUGGUGGGGACUCAGUGGAGACCGCCGGGGUCAACUCGGAGGAAGGUGGGGAUGACGUCAAGUCAUCAUGCCCCUUAUGUCCAGGGCUUCACGCAUGCUACAAUGGCUGGUACAGAGAGUGGCGAGCCUGUGAGGGUGAGCGAAUCUCGGAAAGCCGGUCUCAGUUCGGAUUGGGGUCUGCAACUCGACCUCAUGAAGUCGGAGUCGCUAGUAAUCGCAGAUCAGCAACGCUGCGGUGAAUACGUUCCCGGG
rnacentral:rRNA from 1 species